rnacentral:tRNA from 5 species
GCCUCCUUAGCUCAGUGGUAGAGCAACGCUCUUGUAAAGCGUAGGUCGUCAGUUCGAUCCUGACAGGGGGCU